rnacentral:rRNA from 1 species
AGAGUUUGAUCAUGGCUCAGGAUGAACGCUAGCUACAGGCUUAACACAUGCAAGUCGAGGGGCAGCAUGUUGGUUGCUUGCAACCAACGAUGGCGACCGGCGCACGGGUGAGUAACGCGUAUCCAACCUACCCUUGUCCAUCGGAUAACCCGUCGAAAGGCGGCCUAACACGAUAUGCGGUUCACGGCAGGCAUCUAAGGUGAACGAAAUGUGAAGGAGAAGGACGGGGAUGCGUCUGAUUAGCUUGUGGCGGGUAACGGCCACAAGGCUACGAUCAGUAGGGGUUCUGGAGAGGAAGGUCCCCCACAUUGGAACUGAGACACGGUCCAAAUCCUACGGGAGGC